rnacentral:lncRNA from 1 species
CUGAUGUGUCCACAUGGCACAGUACAAGCCCCACUAGCUUUACUGACAAGCAGCAUAGCUCCAUUAGCUUGCUAUUAUUCCUCAACUAAUGUGUCCUGUUUCCUAGCAAAGCUAAUUAGGCUGACAGCUGUUAGAUUGGCUGACAUAGUUCCUUAACUAGAGGUGCUCUAGCAAAUCCAAAUAUAUAUUCCCCAAUAUCUCUUUCAAGAAUGCAGACAUGAAUGCACAUGUAGCAAAGCAAGGUAUAACUUACGGUUUUGUUUUUAACAGAGACACCAUCUUGGAAAAUAGCAGGUUGCAUGUGCCAGAGCAGAUGAGAGCGCCAAGGCUGAGUGCAGUCGCAGUCCUGGCGAUGGGUCACUGCAGCGGUGCCGCCUGCCCCUUGCCAGUGCUGAGGCUCUGCUGCGUGGCUCCCUUCGCUCCUGAAUUAUACAAGACGGAGCGUCAGCAGGAGGUCAAAGGAAGAGCAAAGGGUAUUGAUGCUGCGCAAUGUUUAUUCUUCCAAGUGACUCUUUUUUUCUCCUCUCACCCCUGAUUUUUCUAAAUGUUUUGGGUUUUUUUUUUCCUUUCCCCUAACUGGUGGAGCCCCUUUCCUCUUUGGCUACGACAGCACUGAGCAGGGAGCGCGUGGCCUUGGUGGGGUCUGGAUAUCUACGAACGCGUUUCCUUUCCCACUGCUUUCCGCUGAGUCAGUGCAGCGGAGGGCUGUUCCUGGCGGACGUGAGCUGCCUUUCGAGCCGGCGUUUUACAACAUGCCUGGACCGCACCCGGCUGCCAGAUAAACAGAACACUUUGUCUGCUUAUGAAUUUUGUACUUUGGCCAGUUUGAGGCAUUUUUCAAAGCUGCGCUAUUGUCGUUUUUCCUUUGAUGUGCAAAGCUGUGCUGUGUGUUUCUGCAGCCAAGAGCUUGAGAGAUAACAAUGUUAUCGGAGCAUUAGAUGAAUAUCCAUGUAAUGCUGUUAAUAUUCGGAUAACACUGACUUUCAAGAGAUAAUAGACUUUCAGGCAGGCACUGCUACUCACAACACGUAGGAUUGGGCCAACCCACUGUAGAAAAAGGGGUGUCUGUGGAAUUUCUAACCUUUAUUUCAGGUAGCUAUUUUAACAAACAAACAAACAAACAAACUGUCCUCCUUCAUGUAAUUAGGCAGGUAAAAGACUAGGAGGCUCCACAUUAGACUUAUAUUGCUGCCCAUGACUAAGCAAAGCAAAUGCAAGCAGCAGGGAUCUAGUGCUGUUCUGAGAGGAUUUCUUCCUUGCAAACACAGAAGCUGAGAAAACUGUGAUUGUGAUUAAAAGAGUCUUGAAAGAGUGAUACUAUUGUUUUAAUUAUAGCUGGGGGAGAGGGUAUUUGUAAGCUUUUUGUCAAUUAGCUUGGGGUGGGGUGUGGGCACAACCCCAAGGAGCAAUAGAGACAGGUCACUAAAUCUUUAGAAUAAUCUACACGACCUCACGCUUCUUGGCUGGACAUAGUCCUUGAAAAAAUAGUCCUUGAAAAAUAGAUUUUUUUGUGUGUGUGUAUAGGAGGUGACGUG